GUGGGAUCGACACUGGGACUGGGACCGACUCCGGGACUGGCACCGACACGAGGACGGGGAUCGGCAGCGGAACAAGGAACGGGACCGGCACCGAGACCGGCACUGGAACCGAAACCGGAAUCGGCACCAGGACUCGGACCUAGACAGGGACUGGGACCGGCCCCGGCACCGAGAUUGGCACUCGGAUCGGAAUUGCCAUCGGGACCGGGACCGCGACCAAGACCGACGCUGGGAUAGGUAUCCGGUCGGGGAUAGGAACCGGGGCCAGCACCAGGACUGGAGCCACGCUGCCCAGAGCAUCCCGUUCCCGCAGCCCGGUGCCUUCCUCUUUCCCAUCCCCUUGAAGCAGCCGGUCCCGGGGGCACCUCCCUCCCCGGGAGCCCCAGGAAGGGCCUGGAGGGGCAGGUGCGGAUCGAGGGGAGCCCUGGGUGGGGCCUGAAGGAAACUCUCUUCCCUGGAGCAGUGCUGGGAGUGGGGCAAAGACGGCCUCAUGCCCUUGGAGGAGCCCUUGAGAAAAUGUUGAAGGUCCCAAGGGAGCCUUGAAGUGGUCCCUGAAGGCGAUCUGCGGGGAGCACUGGGACCAAAAGGUCCAAGGGGCUACUGACUGCUCAGGGCAGCCCCAGGGAGGGCCAAAGGAUACCUCAAAGAGUGCUUGUUCCCUCGUAGCCAUCCCUGGGGGAGGCUGUGGUAUGUCCAGCCUGUGGAGCUGGAAACACUUGGAGAAGGGAUCUCAGACCUGCAGGUCGUGUCAUGGGAGAGAUGUUUCAAGCCCCUGUACUUGCUUCUCCUGAUGCAACUCAAACAUGAACAGUUUGAGGAUUUCAGCUGAAUCCUCACUCAUUUGGUCGGGGUCCGUGGGUGUUUGGGUUGCUUCAAGCAGCAGACUUGGCUCCCUCGUCAUGGGCUGUUGGGCUUCGCCUGCUCCGUGGAGCCCUGAGAGGGCUGGUGGGAUCUCGGGAUCUUCCCAGGCAGGGCGAGUGCCUGUUCUGCUCCUGGCAGGCGUUUGCCUGAGCUGUUCCUCCCUGGCACACCCAGUGCUGAGCUCCAGAGGUCACCGAGCACCGAGCUCACACCCCGCGGCCAGAAACGCUCCCGAGUCUUUGCCUGGGGGAUCAGGUACCUCCCUUCCUUUUCGCAGGACUGCUUCUCAGCAGCAUCACAGCUGUGACACUUUCUCUGUGCCCAUGUCCCUCCUCUGUGCCCUCAUCUCUUCUCUCUGCCCGUGUCCUCUCCCUGUGGCCGUGUUGCUUCUCCAUGCCCACCUCUCCAGCCCCGUUUCCAGUGGCUCCCGGAGCUGUCCAAAUCCAGCUCCUCAGUGACAUCUUGUGCUGGGAAUGCUCAGUGCAGGCUGGGAAAAAGUUCCUGCAAUUGUUUUUUCCUGCCCUCCCCAACACUGACAUUGCUGUAGUGAAACCACGGGGAUUCCCUGAGCUCAUUUGUAAGGUUUUCUUUGGGAACGUCUUGUCCUUCCGUGGACACAGCCAGACAGUGGUAUUGCCUUUGACAGAGCUGGGUACAAAGCUCUGGAAAAGCAUCCACUUCCUUCAAAACAUUCCCUGUGCUCUUUUGUACCAUUUAGACAAUAAUAAUAAUUCACCCAAAGUUCCUCACUGUGAUGAGACUGCACAUAUGAAUUCUUGGGAUGCAAUUCAAACCUUGUUUCUUAGCCAAUUGCCAGAGAGAAAAUUCCCUUCAAAGGCUCUAAUGGCACCAGUCACCCCUGGGAAACACUUGCCUGGUCUUAACAGGGAAAGCUUCCAAGUGCUGCCUGCUGUGCCAGCAGAGCUGCAGCCCUGCAGCAUCCAGAUGAGUGCAAAACCAGGUCUGAGUUUCUGAAGAAACUUUACUUUCAGACCCAAACUCAGAAAUGAAAUGUUAAAAAGCCACUUUUUGAUGGAAGUGAAAUCUGAUGGGGUUUCUUUCAGGGUGGUAGUACCUGAAGCAGAGGACAUCCCUGAGCUGGCAGCCCUGCCAGUGGCAGGGACACCAACAAGGGAUGCUCCAGGCUGCUGUGGAGACUCUACCAAGCUCUUGUGGGUCACCGUGGCCUUGCAGAGCACUGACCCCCAGCUCCCAAUACCCCUUGGCUGUGACAGUAUGCCCUCGAGGCCACUGUCCCCCAUCCCCACCAUGCCCAGGCAGGUGCUGCUGGCAUGGGAAGCUCAGUCAGCCUGUGGCUGGAACACACAUCACAGACACAACCGUGCUGCUGUAUCACACAUGGGGAACAUGGCUGAGGCUGGAAAACACACAUUCAAGUCUUUCCUUGGGCACUCUUGUCAUGAUGGGAAUAAAUCCAGGAGAAGCUGUUAUGGAUGGCUUGAGAAGCUGUAAAAUGUGAAGAAACAUUUAAAUGUGAGACAAGUGGGCGAGGAGGGAAUUUGGAACAGGAGGAGAUGCAGUUCAGAAGUGGAGGCCAUGCCAUACAUAUUUCAUGGGCUAGCCCUCAGCAGAGGCUUCUUUGACACCACAAACAUCACAUAUGGCAAGGAGUAACAGCAGCCACUUCCAGCAUCUGGGAAGGACAACUGUGGGAUGAUCGCUCCUCUUGCCUCAUGGUAGAAGUGGGCCAGGGCACAGGACCUGGAAACUACUGGCUCUGCUUCUUGAGUGUGGGACCAGCCUUCCUCACCCUCCUCUUCCUUCAGCCCAGUGCCAGGCUAGGGGCAAGCCUGCCCCAUCCUUGGGGCUGGGGCUCUGACCUUGCUGUCCUGUAAAUACUCAGGGAUGGAAAAUUUUAAGCCCUCCAGCCCUGUUGCCCCAGCACUCUGUGCUUCCAGCAUUGCUUCUCUGAGGUUUCCUUGGAGAAUGCUGACUCAGGUCAGUUAGGUGUUUCUCACUGAUCAUAUGCCUGAUUUGUGCCCAGCACCUGUGCUACCAAAUCAUUCCCACUGCAGGCCAGCAUGCAUGCUCCACCGUGUGGGAGCAGAAUGGAUCCUCAGCUGUUAUCAGGCUCUAUCAUAGGCACCCUUUGGAGCAGCAGGUGCUGGGGUGGCAGGAGCUGGAUGGGUCAGAGUCUGACAUGGAUCCACUGAAAAAACCCAGGAGAAGGUGGACUUGAGGAUGGUGCUUCCCGAAUUGCAGCCAUGUAUGGGUUCUCAUCUUGUAGGGGGUUAUUUUUCUUCACAAGAGACUUCAUCUCCCUCUGUGCAACUCUUCAGGGAGAACUCCACAUCCACUACUGUCCCCUCUGAGGGGAUAGACCCCUGUGGGGUGCACAGGAGCUCCCAGCCUUACGAUGGGGUGUGUUUGGAUGAGUUGCUACUCUCAGACCCUCCAAAGCCCCCUGUCAGCCUCAGUGUCACCCUCCUGGGGAUCACUCUGACUUGUGCCACAUGAUGGACCACAUUCUGGCAGCAGGAUGGAGGAACCAGCUUUCCUUCUCACAGCUGGGGAACCAGGGAACUACAUCCUUCCCCUUGCUCUUGGUGCUGCAGAGGGCCCCGGGAGGUUCAGCUGCUCCAGCAGGAUUAGGGGUGAUCCCCAUCCAGGUGUGGUACAGGGAGGUGAGGCUGCAGCACUUGGUGUCCUCCUCUGUGAGACCAGAAUAGGAGUUUUGGGAACCUGCUGGUCACCUGGGGAAUCACAGGGUGGAAGCUCCAGCUCCUGGAGCAUUCCUUUGGAUUGGGGUCCCUGGAGAGAGCAGCUGAGCACUGCCACAGACCCGGCAGAGGAAAGAGAUGCUGGGUGGCUCCUCUUGCAGCUGAUCUCCUGGCCAGCCCAGACCUUGCUUUCCCAGCAUGGCUGGGAUUUUGAAAUCUGGGCUGUGUUCUGAUCCCUGGAAUUUUCCACUUGCAUCCCAAUGAUUUUUGGUGAAUUGCUCGCAGCCUAAGAAAUAAAUGUCCUCUUGACUCUUCCAGUGAGUUUCUGGGUGCAGCUCAGCAGCCAUGUGAAAAUACCCAGAGAGUCCUUCUCUUUUUCCAUCCACUGGAAGAAGGGGGUCAUGUGAGAUGUCCACAAGUGUGCCUGGGGGAAAAGGAACAUCAGUGGAGACCUGAAACAACUUUGCUGCUCUUACAGCUGAGAAAAGAUCACGCUGGAAGGCUUCUGUGGAAGUGGGGCCUGGGGAAUGGACAUGAGAAACUUUUUUCCCCAGCUGACUCCCUUGGCGGGCCAAAGUAAUUUCCUCUCAUCAGAGCUGCUGAUACAGCUGGAAAAAGUGAGCUGUCUCUCCAAAGCCUCAUCUUCCAGUGAAGGGCAGCAUCCCCCCAGCAGAUCUCGGGGUGUUUGCCUGCCCCAGCUUCUUGUCCUUCUGGCUAUGGCUCUUUGCACUGGAACUUGGAAAGAAAAAUACUCAGGGAUGGAAAAUCUCAAGCUUUGGUAAAGUUGGACAGAAUCCAGGUGAGACUUGGCAGAGAGACCCAGCAAAGAUUUUUCCUUGUGCUGACAUUUUUGCUCUGUGCUUUGGAGAGCCUCUCUGCAGCUCUGCUCCAGCCAGGUCAGGCUCUGCCAGUGUAAGAGGUGAUGUUAACACCACCACAUGUGACUUUCUCUGGGUUUUCCCAAUUAUUUAUUUAUUUAUUUAUUGUCUCUGGAGCUAUGGAUAUUUCAGAAGCAGACACUGCAGUGGUUUUACAUCCUGUGGGGAUGGCUGUCCCGUCAGCCCACCCCACUCCCAGAGGUGGCCCAGAGGCUUUGAUCCUCUGGCUGCUUGUCCAUAGCAGACACUGCACAUUGUGGUAGUACCAGAACAACCCUGACACAGCCCAGAUAAAUCACCUGAUGGAAAUGAGGAGCUGGGAUUUUGUUGCAAACUCUGGUUACUGGAAACCAAAAGCAAAGAAUUACUCUGUAUCUGUGUGUUGCUGGCUGGCUCUGGGAUGCACAUGAGGGUGAACAGGGGACAUGCUGUAAACUGCUGUGACUCCAUCUCCCUCCCGUAGAUUCUUCCAGUCAGAUCUUGCCAGAGGAUGCCAACCCAUCCCUGCACAGUUUGAGGAGCUCUGCAGAAGGACCUUCAUGGGCUGUCCUGAGUCCUGGGCUCCUCUACACCAGGAAGGACGCCACGGUGACCUUGUGGACCCCAUGAGUCACUGAGAAAGUCCCCAGGUGCUGAGGUCAAAGGCCUCAAAUUUCACCUGUGGAGAAACAAGGAGAUUAUAUCUGAGUCAUUCCAAAGUUGGAACAAUUUUUGUUUGUCUUUAUGCUCUGGGAAUUUUAUUUAUUUAUUUAUUUAUUUAUUUAUUUAAAAAAGGAGAAAGGCAGCAAAUUCAAGGUAAAAUAAAAGCAAUUUGAAGAUGAGAGAUGAACUUACUCCACUGUAAAUUUGGAGAACCCAUCACCAAAUUUGAUGUGGGGUUGCUGUCCUCUCCUUCCCUCAAGGGAGCACUGUGGCAUCUCCUUUCCCCUGGAUUUUGGAGAGAAUGGAUUUGUGUUUCUUACCCAGAGACAGAAAUAAAGCUCCAACAACCUGCCUGUGCUGGUCUCCU